CCCCGCCAGAUGACUUUGUUGAUAUUGCUAACAGCUGUCAACGGUUUUACUUACGGAUAACGUUUUACGCCAUUUAGUUGAAAGUUAUCUAACAUAAGGUUAGGAGUUUAGGACUAAAAAGGAUGGAGAUAAAAGAGAAAUCGAACAGCUCCCGAUCAGGCUAAAUGGCAGCUAGAUCUGAGGACAUGGCUGUUAAAUCAUAGUGGGACUAUCUACUCCAUCUGCUCUAGAACAAAAGUUGCAGAAUGCAGAGACAGAAAUUAAAUACUUAUUUGUAUCUACAGGCACAAGGAGCACUCUGUCGUGAAGACAAGCAACCAAACUUAUCAAAGGUAAGACAAAAUGUGUCAUAUCCAUGGGGGAUGUUAUCGGUAGUGAAUCGAAAAAUCAUGAAAUAAUAGUCAAUCCGCUUUUUCUUGCCACCCAAUGAUCAAUCUGUUGAUGUUUUUUGUCCUGAAAAUAUAUUUGCAAUGAGUAUUCAACAGCGGCAAGUUUCGAUAAUUGUAUAGCGAUUCGUGGUUAGCUUUUUCUUUCAUUAGCUUCGUUAAUUUCCGCCUGUAGCAAGAAACUCGUCUGAGUUAGUUAUCGUCUCCUCGUCCCAGAAGUCUGAUGAAUCUUCAUAUUCUUCGAUUGUGUCAACAUGAAAGCGAACCUCUUCCCGAUCUUCCUCGUUCAGAUGGACCAACAUCAUUCUUUUAUUACCCGAACUGGAUUGGUCUGUUCAACGACAACUGGCGCAUUCGCUACAGCUCGAUCAAACUGCUGGGCGAUUUUCUAUGCAAGAUUUCCGGCGUCUCUAAUAAAAUGCGGUAAAAUGUCUACGGAAACGUCUAGCGAGGAUGAUAACUUUGGAACGGAGCAGUCAGAUUACAAGUCCAUCAUGGCCGAUCAUGGCCACGUUUGGCCCGCCAGCAUACAGUUCGUCUUCUCUGGUUAUAAAGGUGAAAUAAUCGCCGCGCGUCAUUUUCAACAAUUCUUCUUGGCCCUGGGUGACGUUGACUACGUCUAGCACGUCCUUGAUUGUAUCUUCGGUAGAUAAUAAACGUUUCCGAUCUUAAUUCAUAAGAAUAUCUAUUCAAAACGUGCCGGGAACAAUUUUUGAAUGAGAAUCUUGUAUCAUCGAACACUAGGUGACACUACGGGGAUGACAUUUUAUUCUAAAUAAAUUAUUCGAAUUUCCCUUCCUAGAUGGCGAAAAUGUCGAGCUAUUACUGGCUCGAUUGAAAACGGGGCAUUAGAAUACGAUUAGGUAAAUGAGCCAUGUAAUUGCGGGUUUGCACUAGGUUUAAAUAGAUAUUACAUCUAUUCAUAAAACCAAUAUUGCGAUGUUAGUUUAAUUGGUUAUUACGCAGCUGUUUAUGCAUUGCGUUAAGGUUUAUGCUUACCAUUACGCAGCUGUUUAUGCAUUGCGUUAAGGUUUAUGCUUACCAUUACGCAGCUGUUUAUGUUUUGCGUUACGGUUUAUGCAUGACCAAAAAGUGGCACGAACGGCUUGCCAUAGUUUUGUUGAUUUGGGUCACAAGAAAUUAAUUGGAAGCUUCUCGGAAGCUAUGUUGGGGGACAGAGCUAGGUGUUGAUACCAUAGAAGUGUGACUCAGAUUUUCAUGCGAAUCAUCGCCCCCUAUUUUCUCUUAGUCUAUCCCCCUCUUCCAAGGGUGUAAAAAGAUAAAAAAGGUGGCGUAUGAAAAAAGGGGGACCGAGGGG